rnacentral:rRNA from 1 species
AUUGAACGCUGGCGGCAGGCCUAACACAUGCAAGUCGAGCGGAGCGGCGGACGGGUGAGUAAUGCCUAUGACUCUGCCUGGUAGUGGGGGAUAACGUCCGGAAACGGGCGCUAAUACCGCUUCCUCUUAGAUGCGCCUAGGCCGGAUUAGCUAGUGGGUGGGGUAAAGGCCUACCAAGGCGACGAUCCGUAACUGGUCUGAGAGGAUGAUCAGCCACACUGGAACUGAGACACGGUCCAGACUCCUACGGGAGGCAGCAGUGGGGAAUAUUGGACAAUGGGCGAAAGCCUGAUCCAGCCAUGCCGCGUGUGUGAAGAAGGUCUUCGGAUUGUAAAGCACUUUAAGUUGGGAGGCGUUACCAACAGAAUAAGCACCGGCUAACUUCGUGCCAGCAGCCGCGGUAAUAC